rnacentral:lncRNA from 1 species
AAAAGUUAGUUCCUAAUUUCUCUCUUGAGUCAAAGUCUGCUUCCAUUGCAGAAUCAGUGACCAAGAUUGGACAGGCUUCCAUGAAUCAAAACUUAAUGGUGGUUGCCACCAAGCUUUGUUCACUUCUUUUUGACCUAUAUCCAAGAGUUCUUUGCGAAAGCGAGCCUUGAAGAUUGCCGCCUCCAAGUCCCGUUUCGAACUCUUUUAUUGGAGUCUUUUAUGAAUCAAGCCUUAAUGGUUUUAGCCACCAAGUCCUGUUCAGACUUAUCCUAAUUAAACAAUAGAUCUUAUUAUUAUUAUUAUUAUUAUUUUUUUUUUUUUUAAACAUAUUACUAACUAAUCUAGGGUCAAAAUUAGAGAGAGGAAUGUGAUAUAUAAUUCUACACAAGGCUUUACCUUCCAG